AAAACAAAAUACUGUUGGAAAAAUAGCACAUUCUCCUUCCCCGCCGACGUUAUUGGCGAUAGGAAGUCGAGAGCCGAAAUCUGCCACUCAAACAUAACUCGAUUCUUGAAAAUGUUCAGAAUACCUAACCACAAGAAACUAACUAUUACAUCCAUACCCGCCAAUUUAUAAGAAAAAAUUCUUAACGUACACAGUGCUUACGUAUCAAAAAUAAAAACAAUGACUACGUACUCUUUACUCGUACGGAUUCUGUGUACUAAUAUAUUUUGUACAAUUCUGUAAACAUCAUCAAUAUCGAACCUCAAGUUCUUGUCAAAUUUUCUCU